rnacentral:rRNA from 1 species
AACGAACGCUGGCGGCAUGCCUAACACAUGCAAGUCGAACGAAGCCUUCGGGCUUAGUGGCGCACGGGUGCGUAACGCGUGGAAUCUGCCCUUUGGUUCGGAAUAACAGUUGGAAACGACUGCUAAUACCGGAUGAUGACGAAAGUCCAAAGAUUUAUCGCCAGAGGAUGAGCCCGCGUAGGAUUAGCUAGUUGGUGUGGUAAAGGCGCACCAAGGCGACGAUCCUUAGCUGGUCUGAGAGGAUGAUCAGCCACACUGGGACUGAGACACGGCCCAGACUCCUACGGGAGGCAGCAGUGGGGAAUAUUGGACAAUGGGCGAAAGCCUGAUCCAGCAAUGCCGCGUGAGUGAUGAAGGCCCUAGGGUUGUAAAGCUCUUUUACCCGGGAUGAUAAUGACAGUACCGGGAGAAUAAGCCCCGGCUAACUCCGUGCCAGCCGCCGCCGUAACAC